UUCUCAUAUUUUUUACCUAUAAAUACAAUGAGAUGACUAAAAAAAUUAAACUCUUCAUUUUACAUUGCAUCCUUCUUUUCCCUUGAAGGUGACUCUCUCAUCACCAAUUUAAUCAUUGUGGUUCAAUAGUUGCUCAAACUAAUAUGCAUAUUUCAAUGCAUUAAAGGUCGAUGCCACUUUAGACCAGCCGUAGUUGCUCUGACUAAGCCGAUGCAGAAAUGCAUGAUUUUUGUUAUUUGUGCGAUGCAAUGGUUACGGAGUCAGUAGGGGAUACUA